CUCUCGUAUACUGCAAUCCACCGGAGCUCUACGGAGGUACGCUCUUGGCCAUUUCGACAAACACAGAAAACACUCACGCGCCGGCGCACUACAGCAACGCCUGCGCGGCUGCGCCCAAUAAGAAAAUGGAGAGUCCACAGAAGGAUUACAGCGCUCGCUCACCGCUGCUGGCCAUGACGACGACCGAGAGGCGCGGCCUGCGCGGGCGCGGGCGUAGUCCGGCCGCGGGGCCUGCCACCGCGGCGCGCCCCGCAGCGAAGCGCGGCGCAAGGAAGGGGCGGUGGCCGAGGAGGAGGCGCGAGGCGGAGACGACGGCGGCGGCCGGCCGGCGCGAGGACCGCGCCGUGGCGGGGGCUCGCACGGGCGCCUCGGCGGCCAUGGAGACUGCCUCUGUGGUUCCUUUUCGCUCUUGGUGGCCUUUGCCGGCGAGCUCCCUCUCCUCGCCUUCUCGCCUGCGCCGUGAGG
rnacentral:misc_RNA from 1 species